UUCCCCAAAUCGGACCUGGCUCUCUCUAUCUUCUCCAUCACGCUCACCGCCGCAAUCCUCUCUCUGUCCGUCUUCCCACCGGCUCCGGCGAGGCCGUAUCCGGCCGAGGGCACCGCUCCUCGACUACUACCUCCCAUCAUCCAUUUUCCUCUCUCAAAAAUCACGGAUGAAGACUAAAGGGGAGCCCUAAUUUCCUCCCCAAAUCAGGAAUCGCCGCCGCCUGAGCCGAAAUCCGGCAACGCAGCGCCCUUCUCUUCGGCGUUGUCGAUGCCGCCAUGCCGAAGGCUUUCUCCUCCCCUUUCCCUUCCAAUUUUGAGCCCUAGUUUUCAUAGAAAGAAAUACCGCCGCCGCUACAACUGGAGGACCAGCGAAUGGUCGGGCUUCACCCGUUCUCUUCCUCUUCUUCUCUCUGAAUCUGGCGCCGCCGACUGAGGAAUAUCGAUGAACGUCGUUCACUGCCAUGGUCUUCGAGAUUCGGGCGAGUGGUUGUCACCUCCGCUCUUUCGUUACCUCUCUCCGAUUUCGACCAAGAAUCGCAGGAAGAAGAUGAAGAAAAUCAAGAAAAAGAUAAGGGUUCCAAGACUAGUGCAGGAAUCGACAGUGGGCUACCCUCAAAAUUCUCUCUUUAUCAACAGUCCGUGCAGUCGCCAAAAGGGGAUAUAAGCUAUCUGCAGAAGUUCUUUUUGAUGUAUGUGGGUGGGAGGGCGCCCCUUCAUUUACAAGAGGACUUUUGUGGCACUGCUCUUUUGAGGCUCAGCACUUUCUAAAAAAUCUAUACAAGGAGGUAGCACUUCGAUUGCAGGGAUGUGGAGUGCAAGGAAGAGCUUUUACUCUCAAGGAACACUACCCUCAGUCUUGAUUUUUUUUUUUGGUAAUUGAUUGAUUAUGUUCUAAACAACCAUCCGAGUAUAAAAAGGAAAAGAUAAAUCCUGUAAGACAAGAGUAAUAACUUCAGGACAAGCAUAAUCCCCCCAGCCAUCCGGGAUCGACUACGAAGCCAUGUAGCUAGUGGUAAUUGGAGAAGAAGCAAAAUAUUAUUUAACGGAAUGGCUCCAUUCUUAAUAUGAAAGAUACUUCUGUUUGCAAUAGAUUAUAUUUUUCAUUGUCAUGUCUGCUCACGUCUACUGUUGUUUACAUUGUUGCCCAUGUAAGAUAUUCUGUGAUAUCUCAUGGGGUGGGUAUUAGAAAUAUAAAGAAGAAGAUUCAGUAAGUGGCAGAACUGCUAACAAAAAAAGUCCUCUUCAGUGCACCUAAACAAGAAACUUCUAUAUAUUUUUCCUCUUGUUUUGGUGCACCGCAUGGUGCUGUACACAACAGAGGAUCUUUUUCCCGAAAGGACUUGGAUCUACACUCUCCGUUUUGACGCUAACCUCAUUUUGUCUACUCUUCGAUAUCUCUAUCUGGCCAUUGUGUGUGAAUUUUCUGGCAAUGUGAUCUGAUUUUAUCUGUCUUUUCGUGGCAGACUUGUCUUUCGAAGUUAUGGCUCUGCAGCUGAAUGGGUUCAGAAAAAUAAGUACUUUCACAUGUUGUCAAGGGGAGUUGAGCGGGAUGGUUGGAAAUUUGUUCUUCUUGCUCGAUUCUCACCUGUACCAUCCUAUGUCAUAAACUAUGCAUUGGCUGCUACUAAUGUUGGGUUUCUAGUUGAUUUCUUGCUUCCAACAGUCAUUGGGUGCAUGCCCAUGAUCUUGCAGAAUACUUCAAUUGGCAGCCUUGCGAGUGCUGCCGUAGGUUCAGCAUCUGGCUCCCAGAAGUCUCAGGUUUGGUCAUAUUUAUUUCCCCUUCUUGGCAUGACGAAUAUAUACUUGAACCUAUCAGCUAGCAGUUUACAGGCUUCCUCCCAACGAACUUGAUGGGUUAGUUUCUCUAAUUUUUCGGAGAAUGCUGCUAAGCAAUUAGAAGAAGAUAAGAUACAAUGAUCCUGUAACUGAACUCAAAUUGAUGUACGCCAUCAGAGUAGUCGAGAGUUUCAUCCUGUCUGUUUAAGUUCCUUAUAAACAAGUAGACACGUCAAGUUGACAUUUUUAGGUUUAGGCUUUUGUACUUGUGUGUUAUUUAAAGAUGUGUUCUGGAACAUUUUUCUCUUGUUUCUUCCUCUUGUGUAAUAUGUUUGCAUGCAUGCGUGCAGCUGAUAAUUGCUCCUGGUGUUAGUUGUAUCUUUAUGUAAAUUUGUAGUUUCUGGGUUGAGUUUCUUCUUAAAGUUUCAAGUCCAAAUUUGUCGUCGCUUCGUUGUGUUUGUUCUUAAGAGUAUCUAUCCCAUGCCUAGUGCCUCACCCCACCCCACUUCUGAUGCUCUAGUGUUGUGGUUGCUCGUGCUGAAAGUUCAGUAAAGAGUGAGUCUGAUUAUUGUAGCUUUUAUAAAAGAGGUUCCUUUUUGUAAGCUUUACAUCUUCAGGAAUAGAUAGCUAAAUGUUUGAUGCUUAUGUAAUUGAACUCUUGGGAGCGUGGAAUGUUAUUAUAUGAUAGAAAUUGGGGGAUAUUGAGCAUGUUACUAUGUGUUGAGCCAAUUUUGAUUUAUGAAUAAGGGAAGAACGACUUUUAGUAUUGAGUGGAGAACUUGUGGUGAUUGGUUGUGUUAUAACUUGCUUUCUUGGUGUUGAUGAGUUAAAUAUGAUUUAAAUUUCAAGCUAAAGCAUGCUAAUGUGUAGUAAGAUGAUGUAUUUGAGAUCUUAUAGCUUUUAUUUGGCCAAAAUAUGAGUUAUAUGUUGAGUUUCAACAGAAACUGUAUUGCUGUCUAGUUUGGCUGGACAAACCAAUGUCUUGUGAGGGAUUUUCGAGAGUGUUCCUAUUGUCCAAAUAACUUGAAAUUUUUACUGUAAUAACUUCAGCAUGAGUAGGAGGUUUCUGUAAAAUUUCAGCUAAAUUGGACACCGUUAGAUAUGUCAAACAAUUUUCUUAAAAGUACUGCGCGAAGCAGCAAGGUUCUGUGGCAGAUUCUGCAUUUUGUGAGAUAAUUUCUUAUACACUUGAGAAGAUAUUGUAUUUUUGUAACUUUCUAAUAAAGAUAGACUUUAAUAACUUUCUUAAAAGGUAAAGCUUGCAUUUUUCUUUGAAAAUGUUGAUUUUAUAUGAUUUUUCAAAGUUGAGAUUCAUGUUUCUUACUUGACAAAGUUAUGAAUAGAAUUAUGCUAAGUAAUUGAUGUUUCAGUUAUUCCCUUCUUCAUUCCCUCGGACUAUAUUCAACUAUACGGUAUAUAUGUAACGUUGUGAGAGAGAGCAGAGUUGAAAUAUCUCUUUCAUAUUUCUUUUAUUUAAGAAGCUCGGGUUGGCUAUGUUUUGCAGGUGAACUCGCUCGUGUUGGUGCAGGUUCAUUAUUGUGAUUGAGUUUAUCAUCUUGGCGGAUCAAGUAGAUGGGAGUCGAUGAGCUAUGAGGACUACUACAAACGAGAAGGCUGAAGCAGAGAACGUCGUUUCAAAUGUCUAGCAAGUUGCGCGCAUUUGUAAUAUUUUUUAAUUAAACAUCUAGCUAAAUAGAAUAUAUGUGAAGUUUUCAUUAUAUUUGGAUGAUAAUGUAUGAAUAUUUUGGAUGAUAUAUAAUAUUGUUAUUGUUCAUUUUAUCA